rnacentral:rRNA from 1 species
CUCUUCGGUUAAUACCCGGAGACGAUGACAUUAGCUGCAGAAUAAGCACCGGCUAACUCUGUGCCAGCAGCCGCGGUAAUACAGAGGGUGCAAGCGUUAAUCGGAAUUACUGGGCGUAAAGCGAGCGUAGGUGGCUUGAUAAGUCAGAUGUGAAAUCCCCGGGCUUAACCUGGGAACUGCAUCUGAUACUGUUAAGCUAGAGUAGGUGAGAGGGAAGUAGAAUUCCAGGUGUAGCGGUGAAAUGCGUAGAGAUCUGGAGGAAUACCGAUGGCGAAGGCAGCUUCCUGGCAUCAUACUGACACUGAGGCUCGAAAGCGUGGGUAGCAAACAGGAUUAGAUACCCUGGUAGUCCACGCCGUAAACGAUGUC